ACAUGUAUACAACAUAGUGUUAAUGCACCAGAUACAAUUAGAACUCCGCAAUUAAGCACGCUCAGGCUAGAGUAGUACUGGGGUGGGACACAUUGUAACAUCCCAGGCCACCCAGGCC
rfam:Picea glauca, whole genome shotgun sequence.